rnacentral:rRNA from 1 species
GACGAACGCUGGCGGCGUGCUUAACACAUGCAAGUCGAACGGAAAGGCCCUGCUUUUGUUUGGUUCUCGUUUGGCGAACGGGUGAGUAUCACGUGAGUAACCUCCCCUUGACUGUGGGAUAACUUCUGGAGACUGCGGCUAUUACCGGAUAGGAUCUCCUGCUGCAUGUUGGGCGUUGGAAAGUUUCGGCGGUGGGGGCUGGACUCGCGGCUUAUCAGCUGGUUUGUGGGGUAGUGGCUUACCAAGGCUUUGACGGGUAGCCGGCCUGAGAGGGUGAACGGCCACAUUGGGACUGAGAUACGGACCAGAAUCCUACGGGCGGCAGCAGGGGAGAAUAUUGCAGAAUGGGCGGAAGCCUGAUGCAGCAACGCCGGGUGCGGGAUGCCGGCUUUCGGGUUGUAAACCGAUUUCGACUGUGACGAAGAGUGCGUGACGGUAAUGGGUAAAGAAGCACCGGCUAACUACGUG